rnacentral:tRNA from 1 species
UUUUAUCUAAGAAUAGAAGGGUAUCUAAUCCUUGUUUAUUUAUUAGAUUUUAGAGGAUUAAAACCA